UUACUUGGCUUGGACCUUGGGGAUCUCGGACACCACUUCGGCUGGGGGGCAACGUCUAAGAACAUGCCGUCCACUAGGCAGUAUGGUUUUUUGGUUCUUCCUCUUCGGACUCUGGGACGGGAGCCUCCAUUAUGGC